rnacentral:rRNA from 1 species
UACAGAGGUCUCAAGCGUUGUUCGGAUUCAUUGGGCGUAAAGGGUGCGUAGGUGGCGUCGUAAGUCAGGUGUGAAAUCUCGGGGCUUAACUCCGAAACUGCAUUUGAUACUGCGGUGCUUGAGGACUGGAGAGGAGACUGGAAUUUACGGUGUAGCAGUGAAUGCGUAGAGAUCGUAAGGAAGACCAGUGGCGAAGGCGGGUCGUCGUCGGACAGUUCCUGACACUGAGGCACGAAGGCCAGGGGAGCAAACGGG